UCAAGGUGACGGCAGGGCUGGUUCUUUCUGGAGGGCUGUGAGGAAGAACCAGUUCCACGCCUCUCCCCCAGCUUUUGGUAGCUUGCUGGCCAUCAUCUGCAUUCCUUGGCUUACAGAAGCAUCACUCCAUCUCUGCCUUCAUCUUCUCGUGGGUUUCUCCCUGGAUGCAUGUCUGUCUCCAAAUCUCCCUGUUCUAAGAGGACGCUAGUUACACUGGGUUAUCCAGAUAGGAAGAGCAC